rnacentral:lncRNA from 1 species
ACAUGUGGUAAUAAUGUGUACUUAAUUCAUGUACACAGGACACCAUUACAGACAAUGCAAGCUUCCUUUUCAAAAAAGAAUCAGUUAUUUGCGUACCAACUCCUCUCUUUUAAGACUACUGAUUUCAGGUGCCGUCUGCCCAAGCGGCCGACUCUGUGCAACCUCCGCUGGCUUCAGUUGAGCUUGCACCAGAUUUGGAGCCUGUCCUGGGAGGAUGAUGCGCCUCGUAUACACAGGGGACCACCACCCAGAUGCUUUCUGCUCUUCAGUGGGACUGUUGAUGCUAGAGACUGAAGCUAGAAAAAGAAAAGAAAAGCAUCUCGAUUAUUAUUUUUUAAGUGUACGUACUACUUAUGCUGAACUGGACAUGCAGGAAACCAUUCCUUUCAGAUGACUUUUUUUAUUCCAUGUCCUUUUCCCCGUGAUAGUUGAAUCUGCUGCUCUUGUUAAAGAUAGUUUAUAGGAUGCAAGGAAUGUAGCAACCUGCAUUGUAACUUUGCUCAAAAUAAUUCCUGGUUCUUAAGUGGAUUUCAUUUUAUACAAAAAUGUUUAAAAGGCAGUGAAACUGGCACAUGUCACUUGUACUUAUUUCCCAAUUGCGUAGAAUUUGAAUAGGUGGCUAGACGGACCAUUGCCAUUUAAGAAUGUACAUCAGGGAUCAUUGUACCUCGGCUAUUACAUGGUGCCUUAAACAGAACUGAAGCUAAGAUUUUCUUGUUAAUAACUCUUGCAUUGAUUCAGCAAAGUGUGCCUGUCUUCUUUCUUUCUCCCCUCCUCCCCCAAGUCCCCAAACAAUAGAAGGGCAGGUUACAUAGUUUUCAAAAAUCAAGAUUUUCUUUAUUUAUUUAUUAGAUACAAUAUCCCGCUUAGAGUGACGGCAUAUUUCUUCUUUAUAGCUGAAUUUCACUUUAUUACUAAUCAGAUUUUCUUGGUGGGGAGGGGAGUGUAUGAAAAACAAAACUAGCUUUAACAAUGUCAAAGGUCAACAAAAUAGGUUAGCCAAUUUCCAAACAAGAAUUUAUAUAUAUUUCUAAACCCUUAUCUACUUUUAAUUUUUAAAAAGUAAAGUAAGCAAAACUUUUUAAAGCAGCAUAUAGUUACAAUUUGUGCACAUGUGGGGGGUCAGUCUGCUGUUUCAUUUACUGGUUAAAUCAUACUAUAUGUGGGGGUUUUUUGUUUUGCUUUUGUCUAAUGACCUGUUACAAGUAUAAUGGAUUAAACAUGUCAUUGGUUGAAAAUAUACCUGAAUUUCCUUAGUUUGAUCAAAACAAACCAAAAAUGAAGGAAAGCACAAAGAAAAUUCACAGACUCUAUAGCGCGAGGCCCAUGUCAAAUAUUCAGAGCCUUGUUUGUCAUUUGUCUGAAAGACGAUAUUUAAGGUUAGAGUCACCAUAUGCUUGAACAGCAAGGAGAAAUUGUUGGUAUAUUUAUAGCACACAAGUUUGAUCCUAGGUUUUUCAUGUUUCAAGAAUUUCUAAAGAUUUACUAAUUUUUUAAUUUAAACAUUUAUACUUCUAAACCAAGCUUUAUGAAUUUUCUUAAAGUUGCAGAAUUGGAGGCCCACUGGCAGAGCGGCCAGGCAAGAUCUUGUGCCUGGUCAUUCCUGCCACAUUGUUUAACUUAUGCUGAUAUGAUUCCAUGAUCAUUCUGUUUCCUCUGUUAUUUAAAUGUGUCCCCAUCCCCCCGCUCAAAAUCCAUCACGUCUGUACCCCUCACCAUUUUUUAAAGAAAUCUAAGCUGUGAUACUUACUCCCUCUCAUUGUGCAUUAUGAAAUGUUUACACUUAAAUACAGUGAAAUUAAAUGUAAAAACAAAGAAACACUUUUCAGCAUAGUUUUUUAAGGCUCUAGUAAGGAGAUUAGAUUUAUUUACUGAUAAUAAUCCUUUGAGAUGGCAAACUUGUAUGUUUUCUAAUCAUUGUCCUUUUCAUUAUUGUUGAAUUUUGUUCAUGCAGCGAAAUGACAAAGAUGCAAAUUUAGUUUUCUGAGAGAGACAGGCCUUGUAAAUCCUCUGUAAGUCAACUCUUUUCGCCUUCCCACCUUAGUUGAUCACUGUAUUCAAGGUGCCAAAAAGAUCAAUAUAUAAUUUUAUCUUAUGUCAAGUUUUCUGAUUAAAAGGUGACAUUCUAGUCUGUAAUGGAACCAGGUAAAUAAGAUGGAUCUCUGCAGCCACAUAUUGCCCCAGAUUCAUCCAAAAAUGCUCCGAUAAGUUAAUAUUUUAAAAAAAUGGAAUACUAGUUUUGAUCAAUCCAAAUGUGCGUAUUUUUAUCACUUAAUUUAGUGGCAGUUGAUCAUUUCUGCUUUUCUAUUUAUUGGUCUCACAAAUCGGGUGAGUCCUCUGCCCUGCAUUGUCCCCACAGACCCUUCCGCGUAAUCACGAAGCCACAUCAAGGGAGCUUUCUGACACUCCACUCUUUGUGCCUAUAUCCUUUCAGCAUUCCUUGCAAAAUGUGGCUGGGAUUCCCAGACUCCCCUGCAUGUGCCCAAGUGCAUCUAUGCCCCUAACCCAGAGGGCUCCCCCAACUCCCUCUUCCCACCCUAGAUCCUUUGGACCUUAGAUUCUUUUGCCCCAGAAUCCCCCCAACUUGCUUUGGGGAGGAAACCUCAGACCCAUAGAGGGCUUUGAAUCUUGGAGAUGAAUUUAAACAAAAUAAUCACAAUUUAACCAUCAUUCACAACACAAAUAUUAAUAUUAUGUCUUAGCACUGACAUUACCAGUACUUUUUUUCUGGGGGGACGCAGGCGUACGCAUACCCCUCAAUAUUUUGUGAAUCUAACUUUGGCCUCAUUGAGGGGCACUAUUUCAAUAUGAAUAGGAAAAUGAGAGUACCCCUAAACAUUUUUUUUUUAGAAAAAAAGAACUGGACAUUACUAACUCUUGAUGGCAUUGCAGGAGAAUAGACUCAUAGGAUUUGUGUGGCUCCUGUCUUUAAAAGUUGGUUUAAGGAAUAAUAAGUUUUAAAAAUAGGACUUUUUGGCUCUUGUAGAAGUAAUGCAGUGAUCAAUGUAGAUGCUACUCUGGAAACUUCCUACUCAGAGGCCAGGCCCAGUUUUCAUAAGCUCUUCAGGAAUGCAAAAUAGUUGGUGCUGUCACUUUAAACUUACAAAUGUUUGUACUGUCUUGUCGAAAUUAUUUGCUUUGUGCUUAUUUUUGUAUUACAACUUGGAAUUACGACACUACUUUAGAAAUGGAUCACCUUUUAAAAAGUUACCAAUGUGCAAUGUUACCACAUUUGGUUCACCGUGCGUGGUGAUAAUUUAAACAGGACUUGUACUAAUGGUACCGUCAUUCAGGAAUGUACAGAUCUACAUACAAUUUCUUUAAUUUAAAACGAGGUAUUUUUAAGCAUCAGAAACACUUCUCUCAAAUUAUUUUCAGUAAAACAUUAAAUAACUGCAUAGUUUUCUCAAGACAAAUCAGCAAGGAAAUACAUAAGUUUGACUUUUAAUUGCAACCUUGUUUCAAUAAUGGAAUAAUUUUAUAUAAGGAAUACCUAUAGGAAUUUUUUUUUAACUUUCAUAUAACACUAAUUUCGGAAUAUGUAACACUGAUUGGUGAAAGUAGUAUCCCUACGUGAAAAUUGGGUCCUUAUUCCUGCAUUACAGGUCAGUCUCUUUUAUCUAUAUGGUUAAAAUGAGUUAAGAGGAAGGGGAAUGUUAGUACUGUUGCAAGGUUGUUUGGUGACUGAAGAAAACUGGAAUAGAAGCAUAAAUGCAGUGCUUAGUUCUAGUGAUAGGAAAUUAUUUUGAUGGUAACGCCUUGCAUUAACCCUUUGAGCAUUGUAAGCUAAUGUGAUUGGUACAAAUAUUUCAGAGACCACUGGCAAGAGGAGGAGUGCCGUGGCCCCAGCCCUAACCACUAUCUGAGAUAAUGAACACCAUGUGCACAGUUUUGCAGGGGAACAGGUCCCAAGAACUCUAAGAAAAUCUAAGGAGUUGUGCCCUACUUCAGAGAACUCUGAAUGCUCCCCAAAUCCUACUGAAGCAAUUACCUUUUGGGGGGGUGGAUAUUUUUAUUUUAAAUUUUGUCAUGCAUAGGGUUGAAUCUAGCCAUAGUCAUUCUUCAAGUCAGCCCAGGGAAGUUUGUGGGACUUGAUUUCAAUAGGUCUGCUUAAAGUAUGACUAAGUUAGGAUCCAACCCUGGUUUGCACUUAAAUAGGUGUGUCAUAGGAACAUUGGAAGUUGCCUUAUACAAAGUCAGACCAGGGGUACACCGAGCUCAGAAUUGUCUGUCCCAGGGUUCUUCAACCUUGGUCUGUUGCUGGACCACAACUCUCAUCAUCCUCAGCCAGCUUUGCCUGCGGUCAGGGAUGAUGGGAGUUGUAGUCUAACAACAUCUGGGGACCUGAAGUUGAUGAACACUGGUCUACCCAGCAGCUCUCCAGGGUUUGGGGCAGGGAACAUUCCCAGCCCUGCCUGGAUAUGUCAGGGAUUGAAACAGACAACUUCUGCAUGCAAAGCACAUGCCCUGCCACUGAGUUAUGGCCCUUCCCUAUUAGACAUUUUAAGCAUCAAAGAUCUGGAUGCAUUGUAAAUGUUCUUCACAAUUUCAAUGCUUGAAUUUGAGGAGGACAUCUCUGCUGAAUACAUUUAGAAUACUGCCUGCAGCAAACUAGCAUUUAUGCUAUUUACUGCCUACAGCAAACUAAUAUUGCUACUAGUUUAGGGGGAAAUUAUUUGAUCCAAGAAACAUGAAUUGAAAAGUACCUAUAUGGUCUUAAAAUUAGAUACUUAACAAGAAAAUAACUUUAUUUGAGAAUACAGUGGUUCCUCGGGUUACAGACGCUUCAGGUUGCAGACUCCACUAACCCAGAAAUAGUGCUUCAGGUUAAGAACUUUGCUUCAGGAUGAGAACAGAAAUCAUGCUCUGGCGGUGUGGCGGCAUCAGGAGGCCCCAUUAGCUAAAGUGGUGCUUCAGGUUAAGAACAGUUUCAGGUUAAGAACAGACCUCCAGAACAAAUUAAGUUCUUAACCCGAGGUACCACUGUAGUGGGGAAAUCUUGCUAGGCUAGUAUAUGAGCAUGUGUAAAUAGGAAAUGUAUCUCAGAGACCUGAAUUUUAUAAGACAUUUGCGGUUCAGUUACACAUGCCCCCAUCCUAUAAACCAGGGGGGCUGGCCCAUGACCCUCCAGAUGUUGGGACCCAAGUCCUAUCAGCCCCAGCCAUUAGGGGAGUCAUUGUCCAUCGAAAUAUGGAGGGCCACAGUUGAGACGGCUGUGCUGUAGACGGUCUCCCCCAGGGUAUUGCUGUGACUACAGUCCAAGGAGCCUCUACAGGUGUUCCUGGGAGAGAACUGGGUGGAAUUACAGGUAUCUUUGGAUUUUGUUUUGCAACCACUGUUCAGCUGAAGGCAGGCUGCAUUUUGAGAGUGGAAAUGGCUUUCCUCUCCCACAUGGUGAGCUCUUGUGGUGCUCAGAGAAGCCUUUGGCUGCGCACACAGUUUUCCCGCUAGGCAUGUAGUUUUGUUGAGCUGAAGCCUUGAUUCUCCCCAUUCCCAAGUCGGUUUGUUACUGAAUGCAGAGUGGCAUAUUUCUAAGGAAUUCCAAACUUCAGACAUUGUGCAGAUAAAAAUAGGCUGUGGGCGAUAGAGCAGUAGAUGGUUUUUUUUACGUAGUCGCAUUUGCCAAACCAGCCCAGUCUCUAAAUCCGGCCUGUGACCCCCCAAGUUAUGAAUCCUGUUGUAGCUGAGGCUCCACCAACCUCCCCUUGUUGCUGCUGGACUGGCCCUGCCCCAGUCACCAGGGUGCGGAGCGCCCAGCAGCUCCCAGUAGGUGGCUGGUGAGCUGCCUUUCUCUUGGAGAGUCUCCAGGAGCGCUGGCCUGCUCUCGAUAGAGUUCUGCAAGAUUCUUGUCCAUUGGUUCAAUGCAUCAUCACUAAUAAAGCAGUUUGCACUGAAGCUGUGGUUAUUCUGGAAGGGACUUGGGAGCGCUAUGGUUCUCUAACACAAGCCUCUAACCAGCCUUCCCUUAUUCUGACAAGCUAUUCAAAUUAAUGUAUAAUUAAAAAUGAAUGCAAUACUCAAAGGGUUUAUGAAUUUAUUAUUCAUAAUAAUUUUACUGUAAAUGCUUCUCAGUUUGCAUGCCUUGAUCAUUGCUGCUAGUGAUUUUAUGUGCCAGUAGAACUGAGUUUACGUUACCAAUUUUACUUAAUAGUUAAAGCCACUUACAAAGUGACUGCCUGGGGUCUUUUGAUUGAAGUAACAUGCCUUGAUUUCAAAACAAUUUGUGGUUGUUUUUUUAAAUGAUUUUUCUCUCCUCUUUUUUUCGUUCCCGCCCUUCUUUUUCUUUUCAUAUAUAUAUAUAUGAAGCCCUGAGUAGUAUUUGGUAAGAAUGCUCAGUUCAGUUGAUUAUGUAAAAUGAAAUACACCAGAAUACCCAUUGAAUGCAAACCAUCAUCCUACUAAGCCUCAUCUCUGUACAUUUCACCAAGCACUGAUGCUGGGCAGCCUUCCAUACAAAUCACAUAGGAAACGAGUUGAAAUUGCCCAGCAGCAAUGCCUUGUGGAUUGUGCCUUCUGUACCUAGACUUAGCGGAAAUCAGGGAGAUCUGGUUUAACUGCAGUGAGAAUGGGAUGGGGCAACAGGUUGCGAUAGAGAGGGAAGCAAAACUGUCAAGCAAGACAAGUGUGUGGUCCUUUGCACUUGGUUGUGCGACACUUUUGCAAUGACCUUUCGUGGCCAGGUAAGAGACAAAUCUUCAGCAUGCAUGCAAGUACUAUAUAAAUAGGAAUUAUUUCAUUUACUAAAUUGAAAUUUUAACAAGAUACAUGGCUUGAGUGGGUUGUCCACAUAAGGAUAUAUGUAUUAUUGCAAAACAGCAUAGGAAGAAUGGAAUCCAGUAUAAUACUGGUUAUAAAGAAGAACCCUAUUUAGUACUUCUGUGUUAUUUCAUUACUACAUUCCUAUCUCCCUAAGCAUCUCACAUCAAUAAAAGUGAGAUUCAGGCCCUGUAAUCAGACUUAUGAACUAAAAAGACAUGACAUGCAAGGGAAGCGAUCUUUCUGUUCUGCUGUGGCUCUUCUUUGAUUGGCUCUGGCCGUCGCAGGGCAGCCAGCGAGGGAAGCCGCCUUCUUCCUGGACCAGUGGAGGGGCCAGGCCGGUCUUCCUCUGGCCCCCAAGUUCCCCCUUGCCCCCCUGGCCAAUUUCAGAGAUCCUGGAGUUCUGCCUUUGGCUCUGCAGCCUCAGGGCAACUUUCAAAAACAGCCUAUUGAAAUUCUGAUAUGGAUUUCUUGCACAAGAAGUACAGUCCCAGGUAGUUUAGGGAAUUAUACCCUUACAUUUUAAAUCUUAAUUACAGUUUCAAAGUAACCAAAUAAUUUCCAACCUACAGUUAUCAAAAACAAAAGUCUAACCAAAGCAGGUUUCUCCUUUUAUAACUUAAUUUUCCCAUUUGAAAUUUGACUUUUUUAAUAAUAGCUAGUGAGGCUGUAAAAAAACAAAACAAACAUUUGUGUGCCUUCUUAAAAACUUGGGGAAUUUGUGCCUGUUUAAUGCGGUUAAAUUUAGUUCUUACCAUUGCUAACUCUACUAUCACUCAGGGCUUUCUUACCUUUGAUAUAAGUUAUUUCAUUGUUUUAUUUUACAAUUUGUUUUUGUUCUUCGUUACGUGCCAUCAUUUAAAUUUCACUUAGUAAGUGGCAGGUCAUGCUUUUCAGUCCCACAAGCACAGAAAUGCAGGAAACACUCAUAGAGCAUAUUGGAUCUUUUUAUUUUCAAAAUUGACUGAAUAUAUAAUGUAAAUGAGGUAAGCAACUUUUUGUAGAUUGUAUGUGUGAGAUAAUGUAAUGUUCUUUUCCAGUUUUUGGAUUACAGUUGAAUAUACUUUUUAAUUAUUUAAAGAAAACAUCUUUACAGAAUAACGUGAUGGGUUUUGUAUAAUGUAUUUGAUUUUGUAAAUACGUAUUUCCUGAUGUGAUUUUUGUGAAAAUGCUAAAUCUUUUAGUAUAUCAUGUCCUCUCAAAAUUGGCAGGAGCUAAAUAAUAGUUUGUGGGCAAUUUGUAUUGUGUACUGUACAAUAACUGGGGAACUUUUAUAAUUAUAAAAAUAUAUAUUAACUUUUAGUGUGUUGUUUAAACAAAUGACUGGAACAUACUAAAGAUAGUAGGAUUUUUCUGAAUAUUUCAGACUUGAACUCAGGCUAGCUUUCUUGUGUUUUUCAAAACAAAAUUGUGUCUUGUCUUUUAAAAUCAAUAAAUUUGUUUUCUUGUUACAAA